GCCGGUAUAGCUCAGUCGGUAGAGCAACUGACUUGUAAUCAGUAGGUCCCGGGUUCGACUCCUGGUGCCGGCACCA
rnacentral:tRNA from 4 species